rnacentral:rRNA from 1 species
GGGCCCGCACAAGCGGUGGAGCAUGUGGUUUAAUUCGAUGAUACGCGAGGAACCUUACCAGGGCUUAAAUGUAGUCUGACAGGGGUGGAAACACCCCCUCCUUCGGGCAGAUUACAAGGUGCUGCAUGGUUGUCGUCAGCUCGUGCCGUGAGGUGUCAGGUUAAGUCCUAUAACGAGCGCAACCCUUGUCCUUAGUUGCCAGCACAUUAUGGUGGGAACUCUAACAAGACUGCCGGUGCAAACCGUGAGGAAGGUGGGGAUGACGUCAAAUCAUCACGGCCCUUACGUCCUGGGCCACACACGUGCUACAAUGGUCGGUACAGAGGGCAGCUACCGGGUGACCGGAUGCGAAUCUCUAAAGCCGAUCUCAGUUCGGAUUGGAGUCUGCAACUCGACUCCGUGAAGCUGGAAUC